GUGAACUCCUCAUCUUCUUGGGAUAGGAUGUUGAUAGACCUCUUGAUCUCAAAUACUCGGCUGAUGUUGGAGAUGUUCCCAUAUAUCUUGUUAAGUGUACUCCAAAGGGCUUUAGCACUCUCACAAUAUGAGUAUGCUUCAAGAAUGGAUGGAGACAGUGAGCUGUGGAGAAUGGACAAGACCUUGAAGUCUUCUUGUUCCCACUUCUCCUUAGAUACAUAUUUGGAACCG
rnacentral:lncRNA from 1 species